GCCUGCCCCGUGAUUCAUUUUAACGGCCGCGGUAUCUUAACCGUGCAAAGGUAGCAUAAUCAAUUGUCUCUUAAAUCGGGACUAGUAUGAACGGCACCACGAGGGUUUAACUGUCUCCCUAUUUUAAUCAAUGAAAUUAACCUUCCCGUGAAGAGCCGGGAAUAUAAUUAUAAGACGAGAAGACCCCAUGGAGCUUUAAACUUAUUGUCACUUAUUUAAUAGUACAACACACCACCAAAUAAGAAUGUCUAAUAGUUUUUGGUUGGGGCGACCCUGGAGAAAAAUAAAUCCUCCAGAUUGAAAGAGAUAAUAACCCUCAUGUAAGAACCACAGCUCAAACAAACAAAAAUUUGACAAAACUGACCCAGAAUUAACUGAUCAGUGAACCAAGUUACCCUGGGGAUAACAGCGCAAUCCAUUUCAAGAGCCCAUAUCGACAAAUGGGUUUACGACCUCGAUGUUGGAUCAGGGGAUCCUAGCAGCGCAGCCGUUGCUAAUGGUUCGUUUGUUCAACGAUUAAUGCCCUACGUGAUCU
rnacentral:rRNA from 1 species